CAUCAUCAUGUAACUAAAUUCAUAACAAUGCUUCUGUUACAAUAAUCUUCUCUUCAAUUUCAAUCCAUGACGAAACUCAUGAUCAUCGCAACGAUCCAAUUGUACCUGCAACGAGAACACUUCAACUAGAUUGAUGAACAUGAAGAAACUCCAAAAGCAAUAUAAAUAAGAAGAUCACGCCUCCUUGAAAUGAUAGAUCUGGGAAAUUGAAUUUCAGACCUACAAAAAAGGAUGCAUAUGAAAAUGAAAUUAGAACAAUCACGAAGGUGAUUAAAGAAAAAUAAUCAACAAAGUAAGAUUAAUCAUACCAUGGAAAAUUAACCAUUGUUGUGUUUAUCAUGAACUGAUCCAUCUGGAAGAGUUUGUAGAAGGCUACAACAAGAUUGAUGAAGAAGUAGAUAUUGGUAAGAAUAAAAGAAAUGACGUUGUUGUGAAAAUUCAGCAUUUGUUUCACGCUAUAUAU
rnacentral:lncRNA from 1 species